UACCAGGUAAUGAUGUAAAUAUAACGCUAUCAUUAUAAUGAAUCCCUGGAUGAGAGCAGGGAGUGCUGGAGGUAUUCUCAGCUAAUUCCACAACCUACACACAAGCAAGAAAACAGAACCAGAGAGAAAAAUUCAAACAUAGAAAUGUGUGAUGUUGAGAAAGCUAUUUCAGACUAAAUUCCUGGGAAUUAAUUCAUGUUCACUAGAUCUGGGCAGCCAAUACAGAGCCAGGAAAGGGAAAUAAAAGGGGGGAGGAAACUGCCCAAGGUUGCCUUCGGGCACGCACUCGCAAAGAGGAAUCAGAAGGGCCAACACUCCUAGACAAAGUUGGGAGUUUUGAGGGGAAGGGAGACGUUCUUUCCCAGAUCGUGUCCUACCUGGAGAAAGCCUCGGUGAUCAAAGUCAUGGCAGGCGAGAACUAGAGGAAUGGGCGGUACCCCACAGACCCGGUGACAAACUACUGCAUUGGCUGGGAACAUUGCAGGCUCCAGGAUGGAAGCGAUGGACACACAGGCUCCCCUCAAUUGGCAGCAAGCCCUCAACCUGACGUUAAGACUCCUCCAAGGCCAGCAGGCACAGCUUGAGGAAAUGGUAAGGAUGCAGACCCAAGAGGCCAAGGCAAGAAUCUGACUGUUUGCACGCCAACAAGACCUGUGAGAGAAGAUCAAGGCGCAACAGAUGCUAAUGGUAUGAGAAGGUGGGGGCUCGGGGCCGCCUCAGAUGUCAGCUGAGGAUGAUGUACAAGCCUAUUUGGAGUAAUUUGAGAGAGCGGCAAUGGCCACUAAAUGGGAUCCAAGAAGUUGGGUGGCAAGGUUGGGGCCCCUCCUCAUUGGGUUGGCACAAGCCGCCUGGGACUAUAACAAGGUUAAAGAAAUGGUUUUAUACAGUCUGGAGGUCUCACCAGAAAUGUACUGACACAAAUUCAGGGCACGGAAAGGCCCCGAAGUAGGACAGCCUCAAUUACUGCCCCAGACCCUCCAAGACUUGGCCGAACACUGGUUACAGCCAGAGGCACACACUACCCAGGAGACAGUGGACAUGAUAGCUCUGGAACAGUUCUUGACAGACCUCACAGGCAGCUCCCAGAGAUGGAUAUGGUGCCACCAGCCAAAAACUAUGGAGGAGGCGCUAUGCCUCGCUGAAGGUUAUGUGUCAGCAGAAGGGGAAAGGGAGAUUCCCAGAAGAGACCGAGCCAGUGGCCCUGCUCUGAGUCUACGACAGACCAUCACCACAGCUCCACGAUGCGGUGAGAGCACACGGAGGGAGGGACGUGCCGGGAACUACUGGGAGCUAACCUGCUAUCCCUGAGGAAAGAAGGGCCACAUGUCCCGGUUCUGCCCUAGGCUGUCCCAGACCCAAACCACCGUGGCUGACGCGCACGAUGAAAAGAUAGACUGUAGUUUUGGGCGGCCGAGAGGUCCGGGCCAAAGGAGCAAGCCUGUGGUGGAAGUAAGAAUAGGCGACACAAUCAUACCUGCGGUAGUGGACACCGGCUGCUCCCAGUUGAUGAUACAUAAGGAACUGUUCCCCCCACAUCUGGGGAGUCCCAGAAGCCCAGUGUCCAGGAUAUGUAUGCAUGGUGCCACCUAUACAUACGAACGGAAGAAAGUAUGCUGGGGUGCACUGAAGAGAUUCCUGUGGGGUUGGCCGAGACACUACCUUGCCCCAUGCUGUUGGGCAUGGAUUGGCCGCACCUCAAAGAGUUUAUUCGCCAGCUGAUUACAGAGACGCACAAAGAAGAGAGGAGUCUCCAAGCCCUUUGUUUCAGAGAUCUGGAGGAAGACCUGGAUGUGGACCAAAUUAUAGGAAAAGGGGAUCUUCAUCAGGAACAAUGUCAGGAACCCUUAUUCAGGAAUAUAUGGGAAUCCCAACUUGCCAGAAUAGAGGAAGAAACCAGAGAUCCACAGAAAACCACCCAAAACCUGUGGUAUGAGGAAAGAAAAGGCCUUCUUUACCGGGUAGAGGAUCAAGAGGAGGGCGGAGACAGAGCCCAGGUCCUGGUGCCCCGGAAAUAUUGGGAGGGCCAGGCUAAAGCGCAGGGUCUUCUGGCCCGGCAUAUGUAAGAUGGUGGAAAAGUUAUGUGCAGAAUGCCCAGAGUGUCAAAAAACUGGGGGAGUAAGGCCAGCAAGUGUUCCCCUGAUACCAGCGCCCCUGAUUGGGUGGCCAUUUGACAGAAUUACACUGGACAUAGCCACGCCCUUCCCAUGUAGCAGGACGGGGUAUCAAUUCAUUCUCGUGAUCAUUGACUAUGCUACCCGGGUCCCCAAAGUGAUACCAUUGAGGUGAGUAACAGCUCCAGCCAUAGUGGGGGCUCUGCUGAGAUGGACUGCCUGGGUGGGUAUACCCUGUGAAAUCUUGACGGACCAAGGAAAACAUUUUGUGUCAAAGAUUUUAAAGGGGGUCUGCCAGGUGCUGAAAAUUAAACAGCUGCGCACCUCAGUCUAUCAUACCCACACCAACGGCCUAGUGGAGUGGUUUAUCCGCACCCUCAAAGGAAUGAUCAGAGCAUGCAUUCAGGGAGACCCCCGGGAAUGGGAUGCCAUGCUACCCCCACUACUCUUCGCGAUAAGGGAAGCCUCUCAGGCUUCGACCAGGUACACCCCAUUUGAAUUAGUCUACGGCCAUAGCCCUUGAGGACUAUUAGACCUAAUAUGUGAGGAGUGGAUACAAGCCGGGACCGACCUGUCACAACCAUGGGUGGUGGGGAAGUUCAGGGAGAGACUGAAAAGGGCCCAAGAGAUAGCACAAAAAAACCUUAGCCAGUGCCAAGAGAGACAGAAACAACAGUAUGAUGCCCAAUCCAUCAAAAGGGAACUUCAGGUAGGGGACUGGGUAGUGGUAUUGCUCCCAGACGACACUCACAAGAUCAUGGCCUGGUGGCAAGACUCCUUUCGUGUGACUCGAUGCAUAGGGCCUGUGAAUUACAAGGUUUUGCGAACGACACCGACACAGAGAAAGCAAAUAUACCACAUUAACCUGCUGCGAAAGUGGCGUCAAGGAGACGGGUGGCUAAUGAAGGCAGUAGAUGAGAUUGGAGAAGAAAACAGAACAUCCAUCCGGGACCUGAAAGAAGCUCGGGGAGAGCCAAAGAUAGACAACCAACUAGACCCAAGCCAUCAAGCUGAAAUGAGAGCGCUGACUGCCGAAUUUCAUGAUGUAUUCAGAGAAGUACCAGGAGAGGCUACGGGGGUCCCACACCAUAUCAUGACCCCCCCCCCCCCCCCCCCAGGACACACAAUUAGAGAUCACCAGAGGAAGCUACCUCGCCACCUGUGGCUGGCCGUCAGGCAGGAAAUCGAGCAAAUGAAAAUACUGGGGAUUAUUGAAGAAUCUAAAAGCCCCUGGAGAAGCCCCAUAGUGGUGGUACCAAAACAGGACGGGUCAAUUCGUUUGUGCAUUGACUACCAGAAACUAAACAAAAUUGCCAUGUUUGACGCCUUCCCGAUGCCCCAAAUUGUUGACAUGUUAGAAAAGGUGGGACAAGCUUGAUAUAUAACCACCCUGGAUCUCACCAAAAAGUAGUGGCAGAUCCUGAUGGCUGUGGAAGAUAAAGAAAAAACGGCAUUUGGCACCCCAUGGGGCCUUUUCCAAAUUAAAAAAAUGCCAUUUGGGCUACAUGGGGCCGUCGCCUCCUUUCAGCAGUUGAUGGAAUGUAUGCUUGCCCCACAUCAGGACUACGCAGCAGCCUACAUAGAUGAUAUUAUUUUUUCACCUGACUGGGAAGCCCAUCGUCAACACCUUCAGCAGAUAUUGGAAAGUCUCAGGCGGGUGGGGCUCGCCGUCAAUCCCAAAAAAUGCGCACUAGGAAAAAGGGAGAUGCGAUAUCUGGGAUUCUUGGUAGGCCAGGGGGUCAUAAAGCCGAUGACCGACAAAGUGGCUGUCAUAAAACAGUACCCCUUACCGAGAAUGUUGAAGCAACUAUGGUCCUUCCUGGGGUUUGCCAACUACUACCAGCGUUUUAUCCCCAACUUUUCAGAAAAGGCAGCGCCACUUUUGGAGUUGACUAAGGGGUGUUAUAACCCGGUUCCGUGGGAUUCAGGGCCUUCAACCAAUUAAAAGAAGCCUUGUGCCAGCACCUGGUUCUGUAUACACCCGAUUUCUGAAAAACCUUCUUUUUACAAAUGGAUGCCUCAUCGGUAGCCCUGGGGGCGAUACUAUUCCAGAAAGAGCAGGGAGCAGAAAGACCAGUGGCAUUUGCCAGUAGAAAGCUCAACCAAACAGAAGCCCGCUAUUCUAUGAUAGAAUGGGAAUGCCUGGCAAUAUGGUGGGGCAUAGAGCUCUUUUAGUACUAUCUAUUGGGCAGGGAAUUUGUGCUCAUUACCGAUCAUGCUUCUCUACGAUGGUUGCGGACAGCUAGGUUGAAUAAUGCAGCCAUUUUGUUUUUCUGUAGAGCAUCGAGCAGGCAGAAGGAACAAGAAUGUAGAUUCUCUAUCCUGCUCUGGAGAUGAUCUCGACAAAGACAUGCAACCCAAUGAAGAUGACAUGCAGAAAGAUCGGAUCUCAAACCCCGACCAUAUUACCUUCUAACCCAGAGUAAAGGGGUUCCAGAGAAGAGGGGUUUUUUUCUUCUCUCUUCAUGCUCCUCUCCUUUUUGUUGUUCUCUUUUUUCUUUUUUUUCUCCAGGAAAGGGAGGGGCAGACUAAGAGACCAGUGGGGGAGGUGUGUAACAGGGUUCCUGACCGAAGCCCUGUUACUUGGAGAAAAUCCCCACAGCUGGUGGUCAUGACUUCAUGUCUUCAUCAGUGACUUGGAUGAGGGAGUGAAAUGUACUCUGUCCAAGUUUGCAGAUGACACAAAGCUAUGGGGAGAAGUGGACACGCUGGAGGGCAGGGAACAGCUGCAAGCAGACCUGGACAAGUUGGACAAGUGGGCAGAAAACAACAGAAUGCAGUUCAACAAGGAGAAAUGCAAAGUGCUGCACCUAGGGAGGAAAAAUGUCCAGCACACCUACAGCCUAGGGAAUGACCUGCUGGGUGGCACAGAAGUGGAAAGGGAUCUUGGAGUCCUAGUGGACUCCAAGAUGAACAUGAGUCGGCAGUGUGACGAAGCCAUCAGAAAAGCCAAUGGCACUUUAUCGUGCAUCAGCAGAUGCAUGACGAAUAGGUCCAAGGAGGUGAUACUUCCCCUCUAUCGGGAGCUGGUCAGACCGCAGUUGGAGUACUGCGUGCAAUUCUGGGCACCGCACUUCAAGAGGGAUGCAGAUAACCUGGAGAAGGGCCACUCGUAUGGUUAAGGGCUUGCAGACCAAGCCUUACGAGGAGAGACUAGAGAACCUGGACCUUUUCAGCCUCCACAAGAGAAGGUUGAGAGGCGACCUUGUGGCUGCCUAUAAGUUCAUCACGGGGGCACAGAAGGGAAUUGGUGAGGUUUUAUUCACCAAGGUGCCCCCGGGGGUUACAAGAAAUAAUGGCCACAAGCUAGCAGAGAGCAGAUUUAGACUGGACAUUAGGAACAACUUCUUCACAGUUCGAGUGGCCAGGGUCUGGAACAGGCUCCCAAGGGAGGUGGUGCUCUCCCCUACCCUGGGGGUCUUCAAGAGGAGGUUAGAUAAGCAUCUAGCUGGUGUCAUCUAGACCCAGCACUCUUUCCUGCCUAUGCAGGGGGUCGGACUCGAUGAUCUAUUGAGGUCCCUUCCGACCCUAACAUCUAUGAAUCUAUGAGGCCCAGGCAUGGGCAGGGAGGGAGGAGAUUCUCCACGCCACCAGCGAGCCAAUAGGACCCCGCUUCCGGGAAUAUAGGGAGGACGAGGCCCCAAGAAAAAUGCCUUCUGGCACUGUGAGAGUGAAGAGGAGGGUUGUCUGUGACCCCAGAGAAAAGAUGAGAAGAGCCAGGUAGCCGCCAGAUGCCUGGUACCGGCACACAAAACUCCAGCCACUACGGUGAGUCUCAAAGAGCAGUAGCCGCGGAUCCAGGCAGUGACGCGGUGCAGCAUCCUGGAGCAGAGAAGAGCUCCCUGGUUAGGACCCGAGGGGGGAAGUGGACGGCAGCCUAGAAGGGAAAGGGGAAGAUAGUCCCAAAGUUUGGCACCAGCAGCUCGGGAGCUCCCAGAGCCGAGCCAGCACAAACCGCGGAGAGGCAGUAAAAGACAUGGCCAGCCUCCACUGCUAAGGAGGCAAUUAGUGGACAUUAAGCUGAGUCACCACCUGGAGUGACUCAUACCCAGGGGGGACUGGGUCAGGACUCCCACUGGUCAAGACCCACAGAGGGGGAACAGCCAGAAACGCCCUUCCCAGUAAUAGGCAGGGGAUAACAGUCCUUGUUUACACGGGCUGCUAAUGAGGUAAUUAGCACUGCGAGUUGCCCAGCCAGCCCUAACCUCUAGGACAGUGAAGUUGAUCUUUCCUCAAGCAUGAGGGUGACUCUGGGGAGCAGGAGGGGGAUGAGCUGCUGCCUGUGGUCCAGGCUGCUGUAAAAGAAAAACGAAAGAAUAAAAAGCACCUGGAAUCAUGUGAUGGGCCAAGUGUUAUUACUCCAUGGGUACCUACUAAUAUUUAAUCUUUUUCCUCCCUUUAAUAAGAUCAGAGUUGUGGCAGGUGAGAACUAGAGGAACAGGCAGUACCCCACAGACCUGGUGACAGUGCCCAAAAGCUUGCAAAGAACAUUUUUGCAAGUGUUUAGUUGGUUUAAUAAAAGAUAUCACAUCUACCCGAAGAACCUUGUCAGCCUACGUCCUUAGGCCAACACAGUUACAACCAACAACCGUAAUGCCACUAAAAAACAUUUUAAUCAUUUCUUUAUGCAAUUACUUCUUUUAAGUAACAAAUUCUCCUUAGUGCACUUAGUAGACAAUAAUGAUCAACAAAGAUGGAAAAAAAUUUCCCAGUAAGAGUAUUUAAUUUUUUCCUCUUAUUCCUCAAUAAAAGUCCCAGAUUGCUAAUUGCAGGUUCAUAAUGUUAUGGGUAGGCUAAACAUCUAGAUGACAAACUGGAGCUGGACUCCAAAAUUCAUAUUUGACUAUGCUUAGAAAGUUAUCCACAGUAUCUUAAACUCUAAAAACUCUACACCCUAAAUUUAUUUUAACUAGUAUGGCAGACAUACUUCAAAACAGAGACACAGUAACUUCACUGAAUAAAUCAGGUUCUUUUUCUAAAUUAAUCUGAAAAUAUAAUAUAUGUACAUUGACUAUUUGUCCCUGCAUUGAAUAAUCCAGGUUGGGGAGUGCCUGUGAUAUGAGCAGUGUUUCCUGGUGGUAUCCCUCAGAGAGCAGGCAAAAGAGUUACAGAAGGAGGUGGUGAGGCUCCAUAGCAUCCUCCACCAUGAACAGUUCAUGGAUUCAGUGAGGAGGAGAGCUCCAGGACUGCAAAGGAAGGACUACUAGAGGUGGUGCUAGAAAAGGAAGAGAACAUGAACCUCCAAGGAAAGUGGAAGCUGGAAGCUUGUGACCUCUGGCUGUAGGGAGAGGUCUUCAUGCCCACCUGCAGUGGUUUGCCUGGAGAACAGAUAUAGAGCCGUAGCAUCAGAGGAGAAGGAGCACUGUCUGUCAAGAGAAGAGGACAGGCCAAGCCUUCCCAAGGUUGUGAGGAUCAAGACCAUUGCUACUAAGAGGAAGUGAUGGAUGGUGCUGGGUGGUGACUCUUUUCUGGGGUGGGGGAGGCAGAAGCAUCCAUUUGCCAGCCUUGACCUGUUGUAUCAGGAGGUUUGCUGCUGGCCCAGAGCCCAGAUUCAAGGUGUCAUGGAAGGUUUAUUAAGACUUAUCCAGCCCUCUGAAUACUACCCCAUGCUAUUCAUCCAUGUGGGCAUCAAUGAUAUCACCAGUGGCGACCCUGACCAGCCCAAAAAGUGACUACAGGGCUCUGAGUGCAAGAAUAAAGAGGACAAGGGCUCAGGUGGCAUUCUCUUCAAUUCUCCAAUCAAGGGGAAUGGCCUGGGCAGGAGUAGACACAUCCUGCAGAUCACGCGUGGCUGUGCAGAUGGUGUCACCAUCAGGGCUUUGGCUUCUUUUACUAUGGGAUGUUGUUCCAAGAAGGUCUGCUAGAAAGAGAUGGGAUCCACCUGACAAAGAAAGGGAAGAGCAUCUUCACAGACAAACUCGCUAACUUAGUGAGGCACUGUACCUAGACUCCUGGCAGCCUGGGGCAAACUUUUAGUAUCAGGUCCCCUGUCACCAGAGAUAAUGAUGAUAACAAUUUUAAAAUACUAUUUUUGGGCUCCCUUUCUGUCCAGGUCCCGGUCAGUCUCCUGGUUCACCCAUGCCUGUGUCCGGUCCUGUGAGGAGGGCAUUAAGUUAGGUUCACUUGGGGAUGAAGACCAAAGCCCUGAGGUAACUGGAAACUGGGUGACCUAGAGGAAGCCCAAGCAGGAGGGGACAACAGGAGGGUUCUUCUCAUUCUUCCUGCGAAAGUAAGGCAAUUGGGUAGUUACCUCAGAUAUCUGUACACGAAUGCACGGAGCCUGGGAAGCAAACAGAAAAAAAUGUAAGUCCUCACACAGUCCUGGAGCUAUGAUGUGAUUGGAAAAACAGAGACUUGGUGGGAGUUCACAUGACUGGAGCAUUGUCAUGGAUGGGCAUAAACUGUUCAUGAAGGACAGGUAGGGGAGAAGAGGAGGAGCUACUCUUUAUGUAAAAGAGCUAUGAUUGCUCAGAGCUCCAGUAUGAAACUGGGGAUAGGCUUGUUGAAAGUCUCUGGGGUAGGGUCAGAGGGGAAAGCAACAAGGGUGAUGUCAUGGUGGGGGUCUGCUAUAGACCACUAGACCAGAAUGAUGAGGUGGAAGUGGCUUUCUUCAAACAGCUAGUGAAAGUUUCUAGAUCACAAGCCCUGGUUCUCAUGGGGGACUUCAGUCACCCUGACAUCUGCUGGGAGAGCAACACAGCAGAGCACAGGCAAUCUAGGAAGUUUUUGGAGAAUGUUGGGGACAACUUCCUGAUGCAAGUGUUGGAGAGGCCAGUUAGGUGCUGUGCUCUUCCUGACCUGCUGCUCACAAACAGGGAAGAAUUGGUGGGGAAUGUAGUAGUGGAUGGUAUCGUGGGCAGCAGCAACCACACGAUGUUUUUGUUCAGGAUCUUGAGGAAAGAAAGGAAGGAAAAAGAGCAGCAGGGUAAGGACCCUGGACUUUACCAAAACAGACUUUGACUCACACAGGGAACUGGUGGGCAGGAUUCCCUGGGAGGCCAGUCUGAGGGGGAAAGGAGUCCAGAAGAGCUGAUGAUUCUUUAAAGCAGAGGUGGGCAAAAAAGGGCCCACUGAGCUUUAGUUCAAGUACUGUGAUGGCCAGAACCAGAGGGAUUAAUAAGCAAUAAAUAUGUGCUUCUUGGAGGCAUUUGGUAUUUUGCCUAAUAGGCAAUAUUAACUAAUGUAAAGCUUGUAAGUUCAUAACCCGCAAAUGUAACUUGUCUGUCAUAAAUUUAACCAAAAUGAUAAAACUAACUGUUUGUGGAACUAACUGUGCCCCAAAGGUGAAGCUGUAGCUGCAAGAUUAGCUGACCUAACGGUUUUUGCUCAGGGUUCAGCCUUGACGAUAAAACUGGAUCCAACCACCUGGCGCACCCAACACAUUCCAGGAAAGCACGUCUCAAGAAAGCAUAUUCAGAAAAAACUAAAAGGGCUGGGUUUAGAAAUGUUAAUUCCAAACCUAAAAAUGCUACGUUGUAAUUUGCUUAUUGGAUAAACCUGAGUCUGGGUAGUAACCUUUUCUGAUAAUUUUUAACACCUUUCAAUCCCAUAGGGUAACAGCUACAGGGCAAAAUUGUGAGUGGCUCUAAAGCCAACAGAUUAGCAUAAGACUAGGUAUAAAAAGCACGUGCAUCAGAUGACCAGCAGGAAGGAGGGAACAGAACAAUCAUUGCUAUUCCAAGCCCGGACACCAGACUCCUGGUGUGAGUGAGGAUCAGAUCAUGAUCAAGGGAUCUUCCCCGGUAAUCCCUCCAACAGCGUCGAUCGGGGAUGCCUGACUUCGCUGGAAUCACUUGGCGCACACCUGGCAUCAAGGGACUAUCGAUAAGUUGCCAACCCAUGUCUGUCUAUCUGUUGUUUUGAACAGCCCAGUGGCUGAUACCCUCGCAGUGCCCAGUUGGCCUGCGACAGAUUGAUCCAUCUAUCUGUUGCUAUUAUCUGUUAUUAUUUAUUAUUAGCUCUUUAAUACUGCAUUAUCUGCUUGUUGCAUUUAUCUUUCUGUUAACUGUUGUGUGUGUAAGCUAUAAUAAAUUUGCCUUUGCUUCACUCCCAA